GAAAAUACAUAAGCUACACCCAGGUACACACUGAUACUGAUUGUUUUGUUUAUUUUUAAUGGCACCUGCUACACAACAACUACGUGUGGCUGACGGUCCCUCAGGGGGUGGGGCUACACCCUUAAUUGACUGCGACGAGGGCACCUGUGCUGGUUGGGGUUUGGGAACAUGGCGUUUCGCAAUGGAGAGUUGUGUUGACUCUGAAGACGGCGGUGGAUGUUCUUUCGUAUUUUUGGCCUGGUGUGAUCAGCCGGAGGCCUACCAAGUUUCUCCAGGAUUGGAGAGUGUCCCUUUGAAUGAGCGACGGGUUUUGCGUUGUUUUUGGCUAGCCAUAUAGUUUUUUUUCAGUACGUCGCCGAGUUGCCUAGUAUCCACGCCGGGUUACGCCAACGCCAGCACACACUUGUACACGGGAAAUACCUGGGAAUACACCAAAGUUUUUAAACAAACUAAAACUGCACAUCCUCAGAAGGAGGACAAAGAGCCGUGCGGGCUCUUCCGCGAGAAGGCAGCGGCCCUGAGAACAGUCCCCGUGAGACGAGCUCUGUGCUGCAUUUGCAGAGCUAUUGCCACGCCCUCUUCUCCUUUGACACUCAUUUCCCCAUUCAGUCCACUGCAGCUCCAACCAAUUAGCCCAAUCAGCCGCAGACUUUAUUAGGCAACACCUGUACCCACAGCCCUUCCUUUGUUCAAGCCACAUGGAGGAAUCCUUGUUUGUUGCUGCUGCGAAUGUCGUGUCCUGCCUUGUGUGUGUUUUUUGAACUAUGUAAGUCAUGUUUUUCUUCAAUGAAUGUUGUUAAUUUAAUUAAUUUGAUUGUUUAUAUGCAUUAUUAGUUUAUUAAUUAUGGGGCAAAGGAAAUUAUGUAUUUACUUUGGACUAUUUAGCCUAUUUCCUGCAUGCUAUGUUCUUGUGUAAAUGUUUGUUGUUUAAUUGAAUUGUGGCCUUGUAUUGUGGCAUUAUGGAGCUAAUUGUAUCCCAUAUCCCUUUCCCUCUUCGAGACCACACACACACAUACCUACUCCUAUCCAGACAGUCAUACACACACAACCAUAACCACACUGGAUGUAGCAUCAAUAAAAAAGGAUUGUGGAAUUA